UUUUCUCAGUAACGUAGCUAACGCGUGAAGUUGACCGCCUGGGGAGUACGGUCGCAAGAUUAAAACUCAAAGGAAUUGACGGGGACCCGCACAAGCGGNGGAUGAUGUGGAUUAAUUCGAUGCAACGCGAAAAACCUUACCUACCCUUGACAUGCCACUAACGAAGCAGAGAUGCAUUAGGUGCCCGAAAGGGAAAGUGGACACAGGUGCUGCAUGGCUGUCGUCAGCUCGUGUCGUGAGAUGUUGGGUUAAGUCCCGCAACGAGCGCAACCCUUGUCUCUAGUUGCUACGCAAGAGCACUCUAGAGAGACUGCCGGUGACAAACCGGAGGAAGGUGGGGAUGACGUCAAGUCCUCAUGGCCCUUAUGGGUAGGGCUUCACACGUCAUACAAUGGUGCGUACAGAGGGUUGCCAACCCGCGAGGGGGAGCUAAUCCCAGAAAACGCAUCGUAGUCCGGAUCGUAGUCUGCAACUCGACUACGUGAAGCUGGAAUCGCUAGUAAUCGCGGAUCAGCAUGCCGCGGUGAAUA
rnacentral:rRNA from 1 species